AUUGAACGCUGGCGGCAGGCCUAACACAUGCAAGUCGAACGAGUGGCGGACGGGUGAGUAAUGUCUGGGAAACUGCCUGAUGGAGGGGGAUAACUACUGGAAACGGUAGCUAAUACCGCAUACCAUCGGAUGAGCCCAAAUGGGAUUGGCUAGUUGGUGGGGUAAAGGCUCACCAAGCCGACGAUCCCUAGCUGGUCUGAGAGGAUGACCAGCCACACUGGGACUGGGACACGGUCCAGACUCCUACGGGAGGCAGCAGUGGGGAAUAUUGCGCAAUGGGGGCAAGCCUGAUGCAGCCAUGCCGCGUGAAUGAAGAAGGCCUUCGGGUUGUAAAGUACUUUCAGCAGGGAGGCGUUACCCGCAGAAGAAGCACCGGCUAACUCCGUGCCAGCAGCCGCGGUAAUUC
rnacentral:rRNA from 1 species